CCCAAACCAGCUACAGCCAUGGGAUAGAAGCGGGCAAGGGAGGAGGAGCGGUGGGGUGGCUGGGGCAGCCCAGAGGUGAAGCCCAGCGGCUGGAGAAGCGCCGGGCACCGGCAAGGGGUUGGAGCCGGGAGUCGCCCACAACAGGAGUGAAAAACCCGCCUACCCCGUCUCGCCAGGCCCGGCAUUUACAAGUUUUUUCCUCAGGAGGUUUGCGGUUUCCAGCCUUUCCCACCCAGCUCCUCCGCGCAGCACCCGGGACCCUUCUGAGACCCCCCCGCCCCAGCCCCGCAGGCGGGAGGAGCUGGUGGGGUCGUGCCCGGGGCAUCCCCGGGGCUGUUUUUUCCGAUGCUUGCGGCUGGAUUGCACUUUCCCCUCGGCUGUUUGAUUUUUUUUUUCCUUGUGUGCUUUUUUUUUGUUUAAUUCUGCUCCCCGCGCUGCGCGGCUCCCCCCGCAGUGCUGCCCGCCCCGCCAAUCCGGGCCCUGCGGGCUGGGGGGCUCCGGCAGCGGCUUUAAAAGCGGAGCCCUUUGUGCGCCGGAGCCCGCCGGAGCCCCGCACCGGCAGCUGCCGGGGCCGGACCGGGAUGUGCCGUGCCGUGCCGUGCCGUGCCGUGCCGCCGCCGGGAGGAGCCCUGGACCUCGCUGCACCGGUAGCCCCGGGACCCGCGCAUCCCCCUCGGCAGCCAGCGCUGCUGAGGCGGGACCUGCCUGCAUCCCUCCAGCCCCCAGCUCAGCCCUGCCCCACCUCUGCAUUUUGGCGAAAGCUCUGCUGCAGUCCCAAAGCCGUGCCGUGUCCUUGGAAGCAGAAAGAUUUCCUCCUGGGAGGGACACGGGGAGUGACAGCUCUGAGUGACAGCCACCACUAAGCACAGCAGUGUGGCCAGCUUGGCAGCAUGCCUCCUUCCUGCAGACCAAACCACAGUGCCUGCUGGAAGUUCCCUGACAGCCAGAUUUCCUGUGACACAAGUGAAGUACCGGGGGUAAAUGCCUUUUGCCAGGAAGAUGGGAAUCCCAGCAGGAUGGGAUGUGAACAGCCCCCAUACUGUUACCGGCAGCAGAAAUGCCCUGUAAUGAUCCUGAAAGCACCUUUGGGUGACAGAGGCCAGACGCCUGUGACACAGACUGGCAAAACUGUUGCUCCAGUGGGACACAGUAACUGUUUUUGCUCCUCCAGUAUGGUGCAAAGGCUGAUUCCCUCUGCCCUUUUCUGGGCCGUGGCUCCUGCUGCUGCCAUUUGUCCCUGUGCCCUCCUUCCCAGCUGCCUUCCCGUGCUGCAGGGAGGCAGAGCACAGCUGAAAAUACACCUACUGCAUCCCGCCUUCCUGCCUGUUUGCUUCCUCCCCUCCUGGCUUUGCCUUUCAGUGCAGCUUCCCAAGAAAAUAAAGGUCAUACCCUCACACUUUGCCUACACACACAAACACACAAACACGCUCACUCAUUCACACACAUACACAAACACAUAAACACUCACAUAAACACACACACAUACACACAUAAACACACACUCUCUCUCUCUCACACACGUUUGUGUGGCUGGCGUCCUUCUAAUAAACUUUGACCACAUUUCCA
ensembl:lncRNA